rnacentral:rRNA from 1 species
AUUGAACGCUGGCGGAAUGCUUUACACAUGCAAGUCGAACGGCAGCACGGACUUCGGUCUGGUGGCGAGUGGCGAACGGGUGAGUAAUGUAUCGGAACGUGCCCAGUCGUGGGGGAUAACGUAGUGAAAAUUACGCUAAUACCGCACACGAUCUAUGGAUGAAAGCGGGGGAUCGCAAGACCUCGCGCGUUUGGAGCGGCCGAUAUCAGAUUGGGUAGUUGGUGGGGUAAAGGCCCACCAAGCCAACGAUCUGUAGCUGGUCUGAGAGGACGACCAGCCACACUGGAACUGAGACACGGUCCAGACUCCUACGGGAGGCAGCAGUGGGGAAUUUUGGACAAUGGGCGAAAGCCUGAUCCAGCCAUUCCGCGUGCAGGAUGAAGGCCCUCGGGUUGUAAACUGCUUUUGUACAGAACGAAAAGGUUUCUACUAAUACUAGGAGCUCAUGACGGUACUGUAAGAAUAAGCACCGGCUAACUACGUGCCAGCCGCCGCAGUAA